CUUGCUCCUCUGACGUUAGCGGCGGACGGGUGAGUAACACGUGGAUAACCUACCUAUAAGACUGGGAUAACUUCGGGAAACCGGAGCUAAUACCGGAUAAUAUAUUGAACCGCAUGGUUCAAUAGUGAAAGACGGUUUUGCUGUCACUUAUAGAUGGAUCCGCGCCGCAUUAGCUAGUUGGUAAGGUAACGGCUUACCAAGGCAACGAUGCGUAGCCGACCUGAGAGGGUGAUCGGCCACACUGGAACUGAGACACGGUCCAGACUCCUACGGGAGGCAGCAGUAGGGAAUCUUCCGCAAUGGGCGAAAGCCUGACGGAGCAACGCCGCGUGAGUGAUGAAGGUCUUCGGAUCGUAAAACUCUGUUAUUAGGGAAGAACAAAUGUGUAAGUAACUAUGCACGUCUUGACGGUACCUAAUCAGAAAGCCACGGCUAACUACGUGCCAGCAGCCGCGGUAAUACGUAGGUGGCAAGCGUUAUCCGGAAUUAUUGGGCGUAAAGCGCGCGUAGGCGGUUUUUUAAGUCUGAUGUGAAAGCCCACGGCUCAACCGUGGAGGGUCAUUGGAAACUGGAAAACUUGAGUGCAGAAGAGGAAAGUGGAAUUCCAUGUGUAGCGGUGAAAUGCGCAGAGAUAUGGAGGAACACCAGCGGCGAAGGCGACUUUCUGGUCUGUAACUGACGCUGAUGUGCGAAAGCGUGGGGAUCAAACA
rnacentral:rRNA from 1 species